CUCCGUCCGCGCGCCGCGUCCUCGUCUCCUCCAUCCGCGCGCCUCGGCGGCGACCCCAUGGAGGGCGGCCGGGUCGGAGCGGUCCCCCGUGUCCCUCCUUUCCCGCUUGGCGCUCUCUACUCCCAGCGCAGCUGCCGCCUCCCUCCGCUCUUCCCAUCUCGCCAGAGCCGCCGCACCCGGAGGCGACCGGCGUUGCUCCAUCUCGAGCUGCCCGUUCCCUUCUCUCCCCGCAGCAGGCGGAGAAGAUGGAGAGGAGCUCGUCCGCCCACCUUCCACCAUGGUUUGCAGCGGCCGGAGAAGAUGGAGAGGCCGAGCUGCGGCUGCCUCGUGUGCGCUCUCCUGCAUCUCGCGCGGGAGCGAGUGGUGGUGACUAGCAUAGAAGGCGGAGGAGGUCAUUGGGGCCGGCUUCCCUUCCGUUUUGGCUGCCAAGCUCCGCGCGUUGAUAUAGAUUGCAGUCAAGACACAUGCUCCUCGUCAUCGACAGAAGGAAGGGAGCAGCAACCGCAAUAGGCGACGAUGCUGGGCGAACGCGUCAGACAUGAGCCGCUUCGGCUUCUUCCAGCGGCCCAGCCAUGACGCCCUCAAGCCGCCGACGGCAGCGGCCGUCUACCAAGCUACACUGCUCCUGAUCUUCAUAGCCCCACACCGUCGUACUCCGCACAGCUCAGCCUGGCCAUGAUGCUCUUAGGCCGCGGACGCUCACAACGUAGCCGACGGUGGCGACCCACUCCCAACCCGCGUUGUUCUCCGUCAGCGCUGACAGACUUAGUUUGUUUUUCAGUGUGCGCACUAGGUCUGUGAAUAGUUUAAAUCUGAACGCAACAACAAGGCUGCCAUCCUGAGCAUUGACGAAUAGUACAUCAAAGCAUUUUCCGAACUUGCUAAAAGCAAACGUGGAAGCUCUCCCUAAUUCAUCCUUUAAAGGUGGCUCACAGAGAUCGCAGGGAGGCAGGGGAGUUCGAAUUUGUGAGGACAAUGGCGCCAUGGUUGACUGAAUGGCAAUAGGAAGAAGGCACAUCUCAUGUAAUUGUUUUAUUUAAGACAAGUCUGCACUGGGGAGUUCCAAUUUGUGAGGACUAUGGUGCCAUGGUUGACUGAAUGGCAAUAGGAAGAAGGCACGUCUCAUGUAAUUGUUUUAUUUAAGACAAGUCUGCACUCUCUUAUGUCAAAUUUGCAGAUUCCCCUGCCCUAGGCUAUUUCUAAGGGGGAGAGAAGUGUGUUAUUUUUUGUUGGGAUUACAAAGAAUGGUAGCGGUGAGUAUAUGGUAUAUUCUUUUCCCUAUUUUUCUUUAACAUAUUUAGUUUUGGGUAUAGGCACGACCAUUAAAUUCAAUCAUUUCCCUUGUCUCUAUCAAAUUUAAACAUUGCACAAUGAUUUAUUCUCUAUUUUGACCUUGCACUGAAAUCUGAAUUCAGCUCGUGUGCAUGUAUGUUUAUACCUAGCCUAAAAUCUUGUCUCCUGCAUAUUGUGGUAGGUGACCUCAUGUAGGGGUAUGCUUAGCAGUUUAGUGUUGCUUCUCCAUCAUAUCUUGACACCCUUUGAUUAAGUACAUGGUCUGUCUUGCCCAUUAAUCGUUCAUAAUAAAAACAUAGGUAUUACAAACAUCAUUUUGUGGACCAAAUACCGUGUCCAUGUAAUCAUGUUGUCUAUUUAUGAAUUUAUUUGUAUUAUUACUGCUCUACUAUGGUGCGAUUGGUGUUCCUAUUUGUCUAUUUUGGCGUUUGCUACCUUCUCUGUUGUUUCCUUCUGUGUUGCAUGGCGGAGGAAGAAUUUGAUUAUUUGGAGUGUGCACUGGAGCUAUCGGAAGAUAAUUCCAUUACUGGAUUCAUAACUUUUGGAACAUAAGUACAGAAUCGGUGAUAUGCAGCUGGUUGAUUUUCCAACAUAAAGACUAGAGAAUUGCUACAAUUUGAGAUGGCAGUGAAUGCUUAUGAGACUCGCUUUGCUACGAAGGAGAGAUGAAGAUAUACCUGCGGUGGAGGAGGGCGGCGGUUGGUGCCUGUGGAGCUGCGGUGUGCCGCAGGCAAUCGAGGCGGCUGAAGCUUGCUGCGGCCCUGAGCCCGCUGCGCGGCGAUGGAAUACAUGGAAACGCGGUGCUGACGACCAAUCUAGAAAUAUCGGUUACUAAAUUAGCAGAUCUAUCUAUAGUUUUCCUGUAAAACUAAUAAAUUUGGAAGGCAUGGAUUUGUUGUACGAAGGACCGAUAAAGACAUACCUGCGGUGGAGGAGGGCGGCGGUUGGAGCCUGUGGAGCUGCGGUGUGGCGCAGGCAAUACAGGCGGCUGAAGGUUAUUGCGGCCCUGAGCCCGUUAGUGAGCCGAGGGAAUAUAUGGAGACGCCGUACUGACGACCAGCGGAGCGCGGCUGUCUUGCCAUGGAAGCAGCGCUUUUGAACAACUACCACUUAUGCUUUUACCUAUAUAAUCUCUGCUGUUGUUCCUCAUCGAUCUAUUAAUAUGCAUAAUGACAUGCUUAUCUAUAAUUAUUUGUUUUUACUACUUUCUCUGUUUCAAACAUUGAGUACUCACCAGCAACAACAAAUAUGCUAAGCAAGGAAGAGGCAUGCCCUACCUGGCAGCGCCCACCUUCCACUCAAGGGAUAUAGCACUAUCUUUUAGCAUAGACUGUUCCAGGAGCUGUAAGUAUAUUCAUUAUUUUGAUCUGUGACUAAGUUUUC
rnacentral:rRNA from 1 species